rnacentral:rRNA from 1 species
CGGGACGGGUGAGUAAUGUCUGGGAAACGUGCCUGAUGGAGGGGGAUAACUACUGGAAACGGUAGCUAAUACCGCAUAACGUCGCAAGACCAAGAGGGGACCGUUCGGGCCUCUUGCCAUCGGAUGUGCCCAGAUGGGAUUAGCUAGUAGGUGGGGUAACGGCUCACCUAGGCGACGAUCCCUAGCUGGUCUGAGAGGAUGCCAGCCACACUGGAACUGAGACACGGUCCAG